rnacentral:misc_RNA from 1 species
UCAAACUUGGUCAUUUAGAGGAAGUAAAAGUCGUAACAAGGUUUCCGUAGGUGAACCUGCGGAAGGAUCAUUAUUGAAAUAAAAUUGGUUGGGUUGUUGCUGGCUUUAUUUUAAAAAGCAUGUGCACACUUGAUCUAAUUUUUUUUCUUCAACCCCCUGUGCACAUUUGUAGACCUGAAAAGCUUUCAAGUAAUUAUUUUACUUGGUUUUGAAAAUUGCUGUGUGUGGUAGGCCAGCUUUUUUUGGCGGGUUUAUCAGGUCUAUGCUUUUUUUAUAUGCUACUCCAAUAAAAUGAAUGUAUCAGAAUGUUUUUAUAACACAAAAUACAACUUUCAACAAUGGAUCUCUUGGCUCUCGCAUCGAUGAAGAACGCAGC